ensembl:lncRNA
GCCAGGGGGGCGGGCCAUGGGUGGGGUCUAUAUUUUUUUAAACCCGUGGUGUUGGCCGCCUCGCUCCAUGUAGUAUCUGUUCUUUUUUGGUACGCACUCGUGUUAUGGCUUUAAAGUCGAAUAAAACUCCAAAGAACAUAACCAAACAAAGGAAUCAGUCUGUGAGUGUGUAUGCACGUGAUUUCAAGGAUGGUCUUUUUCCUUAUCUUUUGUGUUUGUGGGGGUUUUCUGUUUGCCUUCUAUGAGGAAUCUUUGAAACAGUUUCUGAGGCACUGAAUUGUGUCCAUGUGUGUGUUUUUGUCCCCAGACAGCCAUGUUUCUAUUUUUUUUAAUUGUUAUUUCUUGUUUUGGUUUUAUGUAAAUCCAUGUUUAGAUCCCUAUUGCCUAUCUGGGUGAUAGUGUCGGUGGACACCCGUGAGCAUACUGUAAUGGACUGAUGUUCUGCUCUGUUCUCAUCUGUUCUCCCGUGUCCACAGCGCAGUGUUCUCACGGGAAAGAAGUUGGCUGUCCAUGGGUAGAUCGCAUCAGUAUCGUCUACCAGGGGUAGACAAUGCCUGUGUCCCUGAUUAGACUGUGUGGCGUUCCGUCAAGGUGCAUUCCUUCUAUUUCCAGUUUCUGAUUGCUCAUGCUAAUGCAAAAAGGAGGGUUGUUGUAACAUUGACGUGUGUGACUGACGUAACGGGGAUUUUUCCUUAGGAUAUUUUGUUGGUGUUUUUCUGUUUGGUUCUUAUGACCGGUUGUCCAUCAGGGGUUCCUAUUUGAUAGGUAGCUUGGCUACAGUUUCCAUAACAAUACUGCGGCGCCAAAGACAAUCAUCUUGAUCUCUAAUGCUGGGGGGCUCAAUCUAUCACCCAGCGGGGUAGCUCUCCAGCUAUUCAUAUACAAAGAUGCUUGAAAGGGUUUUGAUAAACAAGCAUAUUUGUUGUCAUAGACAUUUAGGAUAUAGGUGACAUUCGUAGUACGUUCUGAACUUUCCAAAUAAAAAUCAUAUUGCUUUUUUUCAGCCCAAGAGCUAUUGUCAGACUUGAUUUCCUUCCUCAGCCUCUUAUUUCGCGAAGCUUGUUUGAUUUCAUUCGUCAUUACUGUCUGUGUGAGCGCAUAUGUUUGUGUGUGUCUAAGGGUGUGUGUGUGUGUGGGAGUUUUUUUGUGCAAUUUGUGAGUGUGUGCGUGUGUGUAUGAGAGUAGUUUGUUGUGUGUGUGUGUGUGUGUGUGUGUGUGUGUGUGUGUGUGUGUGUGUGUGUGUGUGUGUGUGUGUGUAUGAGAGUAAGUUUGUGUGUUUGUGUGUCUCUGUGUGAGUGCGCAUGUGUUAUUGUGUGUAUGAUUGUGUGUGAGCGCAAUUAUUUUGGCCAGUUCGGCAAUGCUUUAGGUAUAUUGACGUUUUAACCCCAUUCCACAUCGGUUGAUCCGUUCCGUUUAUUCCCAGUAGCUUUGCGUCUGCUCUUUCAGUGCCGUGCAAUAUCAUAUGUUUUGACUGCUAAGCAAAUGAAAAAAAGGAAAAAAAAAAUUGAGAAGCGAAGUGAUGAUGUCAUCAAGCUUUUUUCAGUGUUCAAAUGUUUCAACAUUUCUGUAGUCACCAAAGAAGUAGAAAAUAAAUUGUUGGUAUUUCCAUCUCUUAAAUCUGGUGUCUUGUCAUGCAAUUUAUUGUUAUAGGAGUUUUUCCACCCUUCUAUUGAAAGGUUCAUACUUCUCAGAUAUCAUUUAAAUAAUGAUUUAAAUUGCAGUAAGGUAUAGUAAGAUAUACCAACCGAAAAUAGGACGAUCACUUCAAUCUAUGUUUUCUUGCCGAA